CUUAAAUACAGCAAGUGUACUCAAACCAAGCAGCAGCAAGAUUCCAGAGCAAAUUGAAGUUGCAUAGCCAAGUAAGCAGAAGCCAGGGACCAUAUUUACUGAUGGCUUGUGACUUGUAUGUGAGAGUUCUUGUGCUUUGGCUGAUAGCCUUUGGACACCAUGUAGAGGGAGGUGGUCCAAGGCAUGGAACUUUUGCACAGUUCCAGUCUGUCGGUAGUUCCCCCAGAAUCCACAGAACUAGUUGGGACCCAUGGCAAUAUAGUCAAAUUGAGUCUGGCACAGACGGAGUUCUAAAGAAUGAAGCCGUUGCGCAGCAUUUGGCUCUGCCUCCAACGCAGUAUGGUAGGAGUUUGUCCCAGAGAGGUGCAGUUCCUAGUCCCAGUGGACGGUCGUACCCAGACCUUCCACAUAAAACCAUUUGCCCUGUUUGUCCCAUUUGUCCUGAACCCCUCCCUUGCCCACGACCUUGCCCUCAUCCUUACUGUCCAAAUGGCUAUCGACCUUGCCCUUGCCCGCCAUCUUGCUGUAAGCCUACUCGCAAGUGUCGUAACUGGUAUUCCUGGUAGCUCCCUGAGCAGGCUUUUGUGCAGUUAUCACUUUUUGGCAGCAUAUUGGCAACUAUUAAAGCUAUGAAAAUGAA